UACGUAGGGGGCAAGCGUUGUCCGGAAUCAUUGGGCGUAAAGAGCGUGUAGGCGGCCCGAUAAGUCCGCCGUGAAAGUCCAGGGCUCAACCCUGGAAUGCCGGUGGAAACUGUCGGGCUGGAGUCCGGAAGAGGCGAGUGGAAUUCCUGGUGUAGCGGUGAAAUGCGCAGAUAUCAGGAGGAACACCAAUGGCGAAGGCAGCUCGCUGGGACGGUACUGACGCUGAGACGCGAAAGCAUGGGGAGCAAACAGG
rnacentral:rRNA from 1 species